GACCGUCAACAACAUACUUACAAGACAUUUAUUGCAUAGUCAAACCAUGGAUCUAGAGAAACAAGUCAAUAAGUCAAAUCAAGAUGUGCAUGUGUGGCGAAUGAAUGGUGUAUGGUGAGAACAAUGGUGAAAGUCUAAUUCUACUUUUUCUCUUUUAAGGGGAUACAUACCUUUCUUGCACUUUGAAGCUUUUUGAGGAGAAUGAGAUACUCUAUAUUUUCUUUUUCUUUUCUCUCUGGUGGGUAUCUUGUACCCCUAAUUCUACUGUCGGACACUUGUCCAUUUUUACCUCUCGUCUCACUUUUCAUUUUCUUCGAGGUUCCGGGCACUUGCCCCUUUUUAUUUCCUCGUAUUCACUUUUUUUCAGAGCACUCACCCUCCUGGAAUAAUGUAGCAAGUGGUAGUAACCAAAAUAUCUCGAGCAUUUAUUUCAUGGGGAAUAACAGGAAUAGGAUAAUGUUUUUGGCUAUUCUCUCCUAGAUAUGAGUAGAAUAAUUUUGGGUGAAUCUGGAGAUGGAAAUGAGUGGAUGUAUGUGGAUGCAUACUUCCGGAGUAGAAGCAGCGUGUAUGAGUGAACGUGCAAGUGAAUCUUGAUUUUAACCGCAUGACAAGCUCCUAAGGGUCUACACAGGUUGACCACACUCAAUGCUCAUAAGCAGUAAAAAGUAAAUAUAUGGUUCAUAGUCUAAUAAGCAUGUAUAUUUGGCUGUGGUAGGAUUUUAAACUCUCAUCAUACAGGAACUCAUCAUGCAACAUUUUAAAGAUUUUCAAAGAUAAAAUUCUCCAGAAUUCUAGCAUCUCUAGGAAUAGAUAAACAGCAGCUCAACCUUUCCAUAUAAUAUCCGUUAACGACUUAGACUUUAGAUCAAGCACUCUUCCCACAAGUUUAGGUUUAGAGCAAAUCUUAAUUCAUAACAGUCAUAACAGAGCAACUAUUCAUGGCAGAGCAACUAUUCAUCAUUUCCAUGUGAGAGCUUAUCAUGAGGGUUCAUAGCAAACUUUAUUUUUUUAUUUAUUUAGCAAACUAAGGAAAGAUAUAUAUAUAUAUAUAUAUAUAUAAGCAUAAAAUCUUUAUUUGGAUUUUUAUGAUUAUGCAUCUUUUUAUUAUUUGAGUAAAGUAUAAACGCGAGUAGAAACACUUAGCUGGAUAAAUGGGGGUGCUCUCCCCUAAGCUGGAUUUUGACGUAAUUUCUUCUCAUGUAGCUAGCAGGUGGCGGAGGUGUAUUUGAAUGUCGGCAGUACCUUUACAGCGAUUAGGAUGUCCUCCGUCUGCUAGUCUUCUUUGAUCCUUGAAUUUUGUGGAGCUCAAAUAGACAACAAAGCUUUGUGGAACUAGUUAAGUGUUAGCAUAAAUAUCUAGCCUUUAUCAUGUUGAGCCUCCUUAAUGAAUGUUACUCUCUUUGGUAGGAUCAUAAUUUUUUUUAUAUAUUUUCAUUUUUAUAGGACAUGAAUAUAUUUAUUUUAUUUUUAUGCCACCACAGUGAAUGUACUUAUGGGUUUUAUGCCACGAGCAUACUCACAUGGGGCUUACUAUUUUUAACAUUUUUAUUUUAUUUUAAAGAUAGCAUGAUUAACUAACAAGCCAUUUAAGGAAAGUAAAUAAUUUAAGGGAAAAGGGAAUGCAGAAAGGAUAAAUAUGGAUAACUACCAAUUUUACCUUUCGGCGAGGGUUCAAUGUUUUAAGUCUUCUGAACAAGACUUCCCACCAUAUUUAUUCUUUAGGUGCGUCAUUUGAUUCAGGUGUGGACCUUGACGUCUGCACCUCUUGAUAAUGUGUCCUGCUCAUAGAGACAAGAUAGAGAUCAAGUGCAUAGGCCCUGUUGGUGGAAAACACCAACAGAACCAAAAGUAUAGUUAUUCUUCCCUAUCCUUAAGCAUAGGGCGCAAGACAAAGUUGGUGGGUGAUAAGUUCAUGAGUGUAGCAUUGAAAACAUUUGUCAGAUCAUAUCGCUCAACCUAAUGGAAAGAUAAUCUAUCUAUAUUUAUGUUUUUUUAUAUAUCUUCCAAAGAUUGAGUGUGCAACAUUUUCGCUCAUAUGAUUAGGAGUGUGGGAUCAUAGAGGUAGUACUAGGAACAAAGACUAAAGGACUAAACAUGAUGAAUCAGUUGGGUUGGUUAAUGGAGUUAUAAAUCGUACAUGUUUGUCUCUUUAUUUAUGUAAACGCCAGAACCAAGGAGAAGCUUAUAAAGGUGAUAGUCACAUAACUUAAGAUGUUACCUUAAUUGAAGAGUGAUGGUACCAUCUCACUUUGUGGAAGCUUCCCAAUCGUAGUGGCUAUGUAUUUUGUUUAUGUACUUUGUCUCAUUCCAUGGAUCAUCUCUCUAUGAUGAAUGAGCUAUGUCCUUCUUGUGCAAAUUGUUACACUUCAUGUGUCUCUCUCUUCAUCUCCGAUGUGAGUUUAUCUCAGGACUUCCCAGGUCGAUAUUGAAAGUUUUCCUGCAGGGGUUAGUCCAACAUAAUAUCCAAUAUCUACUAUAGGAUACUAUCGGCUCAAAAAUCAACCUAGACACCAUGUCUAAUUUGAUUUAGGAGGGCAUUUUAACCUAAGCACCAUGCUUAAUUUAAAAUCCCUUGGAAGUAAGAUCAUCAUUCCUAAACUAAGCACCAUGCUUAUUUAAGAGAUAAAUGAAACUACUCCAAACCUAGACAUAUACUAAAGCAAAUAAAGGUAGCAUGAGAGCAUUUAUAG
rnacentral:lncRNA from 1 species